rnacentral:lncRNA from 10 species
GAGUACCCAGGGACACGAUACACUGCGGAAGGCUGCAGGGACCUCUGCCCAGGAAAGCCAGAUGAUGCAUAUCAUAAAUUAUUACUCACCCCAUGUUCCCACCCUCGAGAGACCUCCAAACAAUCACCAUGCCACAGUGAACAUUCAGUAACAAAAAUUCAGCCAGGGUUUUCACCAGCAUGAAUGGCAGUGAUUCCAAUCAGGAAAACAGAAAGAGGAGAGUUCAGAGCCACCUAGAAUGGCUCUUGCAAGAUACGAAAUCAAGGCAGCAGCAACAGGGCUGAACAUUCCUCAUCCCUAACUCUCCCUUCACCAGUAGGAAACCCAGGAUAACUGCAAUCACCGCAGGCCCAUCUGGCCUGAAGUUCUACUACUAGUAGCCCUCCAUGGGACCUUCUUAAGGAAGCAUGUCAACUCAGGUAAGGGAUGUAAGGGGAUGGAUGACCCUUUGAGGCCAAAGUUGGAGCAAAAAACACCAGAUGUUCCUGUGCACUG